rnacentral:rRNA from 1 species
UACGUAGGGUGCAAGCGUUGUCCGGAAUUAUUGGGCGUAAAGAGCUCGUAGGCGGUCUGUCGCGUCGGCUGUGAAAACCCGAGGCUCAACCUCGGGCCUGCAGUCGAUACGGGCAAACUAGAGUACUGCAGGGGAGACUGGAAUUCUUGGUGUAGCGGUGAAAUGCGCAGAUAUCAGGAGGAACACCGGUGGCGAAGGCGGGUCUCUGGGCAGUAACUGACGCUGAGGAGCGAAAGCGUGGGGAGCGAACAGG